AUUGAACGCUGGCGGCAUGCUUUACACAUGCAAGUCGAGCGGCAGCGCGGGGGCAACCCUGGCGGCGAGCGGCGAACGGGUGAGUAAUGCAUCGGAACGUACCCUGGAGUGGGGGAUAACGCCGCGAAAGCGGCGCUAAUACCGCAUAUGCUCUGAGGAGGAAAGUGGGGGGACCGCAAGGCCUCACGCUCUGGGAGCGGCCGAUGUCCGAUUAGCUAGUUGGUGGGGUAAAGGCUUACCAAGGCGACGAUCGGUAGCUGGUCUGAGAGGAUGAUCAGCCACACUGGGACUGAGACACGGCCCAGACUCCUACGGGAGGCAGCAGUGGGGAAUUUUGGACAAUGGGGGCAACCCUGAUCCAGCCAUGCCGCGUGAGUGAAGAAGGCCUC
rnacentral:rRNA from 1 species